rnacentral:rRNA from 1 species
GUCGAACGGCAGCACGGAGAGCUUGCUCUCUGGUGGCGAGUGGCGAACGGGUGAGUAAUAUAUCGGAACGUGUCCAAUAAUGGGGGAUAACGAGUCGAAAGAUUCGCUAAUACCGCAUACGCCCUACGGGGGAAAGCAGGGGAUCGUAAGACCUUGCGUUAAUGGAGCGGCCGAUAUCUGAUUAGCUUGUUGGUGAGGUAAAGGCUCACCAAGGCGACGAUCAGUAGCUGGUUUGAGAGAACGACCAGCCACACUGGAACUGAGACACGGUCCAGACUCCUACGGGAGGCAGCAGUGGGGAAUUUUGGACAAUGGGGGCAACCCUGAUCCAGCCAUUCCGCGUGAGUGAAGAAGGCCUUCGGGUUGUAAAGCUCUUUCGCAAGGGAAGAAAACUUAUGAUCGAAUAAAUCAUGAGGUUGACGGUACCUUGAUAAGAAGCACCGGCUAACUACGUGCCAGCAGCCGCGGUAAUACGUAGGGUGCGAGCGUUAAUCGGAAUUACUGGGCGUAAAGCGUGCGCAGGCGGUUUUGUAAGUCGGAUGUGAAAUCCCCGGGCUCAACCUGGGAACUGCGUUCGAAACUGCAAGGCUAGAGUGUGUCAGAGGGGGGUAGAAUUCCACGUGUAGCAGUGAAAUGCGUAGAGAUGUGGAGGAAUACCAAUGGCGAAGGCAGCCCCCUGGGAUAACACUGACGCUCAUGCACGAAAGCGUGGGGAGCAAACAGGAUUAGAUACCCUGGUAGUCCACGCCCUAAACGAUGUCAACUAGUUGUUGGUAGAGUAAAAUCUAUGAGUAACGUAGCUAACGCGUGAAGUUGACCGCCUGGGGAGUACGGUCGCAAGAUUAAAACUCAAAGGAAUUGACGGGGGCC